rnacentral:rRNA from 1 species
GGACCCGCACAAGUAGUGGAGCAUGUGGUUUAAUUCGAAGAUACGCGCAGAACCUUACCAACACUUGACAUGUUCGUCGCGACUUUAAGAGAUUAAAGUUUUCGGUUCGGCCGGACGAAACACAGGUGCUGCAUGGCUGUCGUCAGCUCGUGUCGUGAGAUGUUGGUUAAGUCCCGCAACGAGCGCAACCCUCACUUUUAGUUGCCAUCAUUUAGUUGGGCACUCUGAAAGAACUGCCAGUGAUAAGCUGGAGGAAGGUGGGGAUGACGUCAAGUCCUCAUGGCCCUUACGUGUUGGGCUACACACGUGCUACAAUGGCUAGGACAGACGCCGGAAACCCGCGAGGGGGAGCCAA